AAUAAUGAAUUUCUUUGUUAAAUUUCAUUGACGACAAACAAGUGUUUAGUACGUGGUCAAUGGAAACUAACACGUCACGUAAAGUGAUGUGAUUCCUUGUACAGCUAACGAUUGACUAUUUUCACCGUUCACAACAGCGUGAGCAGUAAUAAUCAUUAAUAAAUGCAGAGAUUUGGAUGACAACAAUGAAGUACAUUGCAACUACGCGUGAGCGUAUCCAAAAAUACGGAACCUUGAAAUUCCACCGUCCGGAGCAAUUGUUAGCCGUACAUGACUCACUGGGCCAUGCCAAUCCAAGUCCUCGCAAGCAUACACAUGAGGUUUAUGAGCUGAUAACUGGAAAGACAUGAGACAUUACUCGCCAAAGCUUUGUUGACACUAAUCCGAGCUCGUGAGCUGAAACUAUAAAACUACCGACAUCCCGAACUAUUGGAAAACUAUCUUCAUUGUAUCCUUCUAUAGUUCUGAAAAUAGUACGACAGCCCGUGCUCCACUACCUGAAGAAUUCCAGAGCGAUCAACUUCGAUAAUCGGCGGUCUAUCAAGUCGUCUUGCCGUCUCCCAACCAUCGGCCAUAUUUAUACCUCUCCCGGGUCUAAUU